rnacentral:tRNA from 1 species
UCCUCUGUGGCGUAACGGUAUCGCACCUCAACCCUAUUCUUAUCAACCUACUAUUCUUAGAGGAGAUUCCUGGUUCGAAUCCAGGCAGAGGGA